rnacentral:rRNA from 1 species
AUUGAACGCUGGCGGCAUGCCUAACACAUGCAAGUCGAACGGCAGCACAGUGUGUAGCAAUACACAUGGGUGGCGAGUGGCGGACGGGUGAGUAAUGCAUGGGAAUCUGCCCAGUAGCGGGGGACAACUCGGGGAAACUCGAGCUAAUACCGCAUACGCCUACGGGAAGAGGGACGCAGCUCUCACUAUGGAUGAGCCCAUGUCGGAUAGUCUAGUUGGUGAGGUAACGGCUCACCAAGGCAACGAUCCGUAGCUGGUCUGAGAGGACGGACCAGCCACACCGGAACUGAGACACGGUCCGGACUCCUACGGGAGGCAGCAGUGGGGAAUAUUGGACAA